AACUAAAUCUUCCUUCUUGGGGAAAGCAUCAGUUAUAAAGAGAAGGCUGCGGUGUCACAAUGAUCGGAAGACUGGUUUCUUUGGUUCUUCUCAGUACAUUGUCUGUGACUGAAAUGAAUGAGGUUCCUCAGCAGAUCUCUUUAACUGAGGCUAAACUUGGAGAUAAUGUGACUCUGACAUGUGCAAUCUUUGGAAGUGAUCCAAGGUUGUUUUACUGGUUUAAGCUGAAUUUUGGAUAUAUGGUUCAAACAGUUGCUAAAGGAAGUUUUGGGCAAAUUUCACAUCAGUUUAACAACUCAAGAUUCAGUGCCACAAAAGUGGGUAAUGUGCUUUCUCUUAUCAUAAGAAAUGUAAGCAAAGAAGAUGAAGCAAUGUACUUCUGUCAAGCAGGAUCAUCAUUCAGUGUUAGCUUUAUUAAUGGCACAAUUUUGGCAGUGAAUGGUAAAGUAUAUUCAUUAUAUUGUUGAUAUGUCUACCUAAACUAUUACAUUUGAUACAAUUUCAUGUGUUUUUGUGUUUCACACAGAUCCUAAGACCCAGCAUAAAUUUGUCACAGUGAAAAUAAUUCCAGACCAUCUGGGUGAUACAAUAGCUGUACAGUGUUCACUUCUUUCUAAGAACAAAAAUGACCCAGAUCAGUGUCCAGAUGAAGACAAAGUGCACUGGUUUAAAGGUGCAUCAGAAUCCCAUCCAGGCAUCAUUUACUAUGGCAGUAUCAGAAAUAAAGAGGACGGGAGAUGUGACUACAGUCUGUCCAAAACUAGAACACACUCAUCUGAUGCUGGGACGUACUACUGUGCUGUGAUCACAUGUGGAGAGAUCCUGUUUGGUGAAGGAACAAAAGUGGACAUAAGAAAAAAGUGGGACCCAGUUGUCAUUGUGCUUGGGAUGCUGUUGGCUCUCUGUGUGAUCGUGAUCGCAGUUCUUAUUUUAUCCAGAGACUGAAAGUUUUUCUUGCUUUGCUUUGUUUUCUUAACUUUAGAAUGCACAGAUAUGGAGCAUAGAGACCCAUCUUUUUUUUUCACCACAUCCAGGAUUUGACCCAGAAUAAUAAAGAAACCCUUGUAAUGGAUUUAGUUUUGCAAUACACACAAGCUGCAGAUGGGUGACUGACAGCAGGAUAUUUGGCUCUCUGUAACAUACAAAAUUACAUUGUUAAUUUGUUCAUAUAUAUAAUCAUUAUGCGAUUUUGUUAGUGUCUUAAGUUGUUGUAUGUUAUAUUCUGUGUCAUAAAAAAUGUUACAUAUUUGAUUAUGAAUAAAGUGUAGCUAAAGUACUAAAGUCUGCCUGUCUGUCCACAUAAAACAGCACUGUAUGUUUAUAACUCACAAAGUGAGUAGUCUGAUUAAUUCUGCUGUUAUCAUACAUUACUAUUA